AAAACCUGACGGAGACAACGACCGCGUGAGUGAAGACGGCCUUCGGGGGUGAAAGCUCUGUGUAUGAGGGGACGAACGGCCGGGUGAGCGAAGAGGUAGCCGGCAUGACGGUACCGUAAGAGAAAGCCACGGCUAACUACGUGCCAGCAGCCGCGGUAAUACGUAGGUGGCAAGCGUUGUCCGGAAUGAUUGGGCGUAAAGGGCGCGCAGGCGGCUGUGUUAAGUCUGUCCAGAAAGUGCGGGGCUAAACCCCGUGAGAGGAUGGAAACUGGACAGCUGAGAGUGUCGGAGAGGAAAGCGGAAUUCCUAGUGUAGCGGUGAAAUGCGUAGAUAUUAGGAGGAACACCGGUGGCGAAAGCGGCUUUCUGGACGACAACUGACGCUGAGGCGCGAAAGCCAGGGGAGCAAACGGGAUUAGAUACCCCGGUAGUCCUGGCCGUAAACGAUGGGUACUAGGUGUAGGAGGUAUCGACCCCUCCUGUGCCGGAGUUAACGCCAUAAGUACCCCGCCCUGGGGAGUACGGGCGCAAGGCUGAAACUCAAAGGAAUUGACGGGGGCCGCACAAGC
rnacentral:rRNA from 1 species